rnacentral:rRNA from 1 species
UGGGGAAUAUUGGGCAAUGGGCGCAAGCCUGACCCAGCGACGCCGCGUGAGGGAAGACAGCCUUCGGGUUGUAAACCUCUGUUGCAGGGGAAGAAGGACGUGACGGUACCCUGCGAGGAAGCUCCGGCUAACUACGUGCCAGCAGCCGCGGUAAUACGUAGGGAGCGAGCGUUGUCCGGAAUUACUGGGCGUAAAGGGCGCGUAGGCGGCGCUUCAAGUCGUCUGUCAAAAGCCGAGGCUCAACCUCGGUGCGCAGACGAAACUGGAGAGCUUGAGAAGCAGAGAGGCAAACAGAAUUCCUGGUGUAGCGGUGAAAUGCGUAGAUAUCAGGAAGAAUACCAGUGGCGAAGGCGGUUUGCUGGCUGCAUACUGACGCUGAAGCGCGAAAGCCAGGGGAGCAAACGGGAUUAGAUACCCCGGUAGUCCUGGCAGUAAACGAUGUAUGCUGGGUGUGGGACUAGCGAUAGUUCCGUGCCGAAGUUAACGCGAUAAGCAUACCGCCUGGGGAGUACGGUCGCAAGAUUG